rnacentral:rRNA from 1 species
CCUACGGGAGGCAGCAGUGGGGAAUAUUGCACAAUGGGGGAAACCCUGAUGCAGCGACGCCGCGUGAGUGAAGAAGUAAUUCGGUAUGUAAAGCUCUAUCAGCAGGGAAGAAAAUGACGGUACCUGAGUAAGAAGCCCCGGCUAACUACGUGCCAGCAGCCGCGGUAAUACGUAGGGGGCAAGCGUUAUCCGGAUUUACUGGGUGUAAAGGGAGCGUAGACGGCAGUGCAAGUCUGGAGUGAAAGGCGGGGGCUCAACCCCCGGACUGCUCUGGAAACUGUACGGCUGGAGUGCAGGAGAGGUAAGUGGAAUUCCUAGGGUAGCGGUGAAAUGCGUAGAGAUUAGGAGGAACACCAGUGGCGAAGGCGGCUUACUGGACUGUAACUGACGUUGAGGCUCGAAAGCGUGGGGAGCAAACAGGAUUAGAUACCCCAGUAGUC